rnacentral:rRNA from 1 species
CCUACGGGUGGCUGCAGUAGGGAAUCUUCCGCAAUGGACGAAAGUCUGACGGAGCAACGCCGCGUGAGUGAUGAAGGGUUUCGGCUCGUAAAGCUCUGUUAUGAGGGAAGAACACGUACCGUUCGAAUAGGGCGGUACCUUGACGGUACCUCAUCAGAAAGCCACGGCUAACUACGUGCCGGCAGCCGCGGUAAUACGUAGGUGGUAAGCGUUGUCCGGAAUUAUUGGGCGUAAAGCGCGCGCAGGCGGCCUUUUAAGUCUGAUGUGAAAUCUUGCGGCUCAACCGCAAGCGGCCAUUGGAAACUGGGAGGCUUGAGUACAGAAGAGGAGAGUGGAAUUCCACGUGUAGCGGUGAAAUGCGUAGAUAUGUGGAGGAACACCAGUGGCGAAGGCGACUCUCUGGUCUGUAACUGACGCUGAGGCGCGAAAGCGUGGGGAGCAAACAGGAUUAGAUACCCUAGUAGUC